CCUACGGGAGGCAGCAGUGAGGAAUUUUCCGCAAUGGGCGAAAGCCUGACGGAGCAAUACCGCGUGAGGGAUGAAGGAUUUUGGUCUGUAAACCUCUUUUCUCAAGAAAGAAGUUCUGACGGUACUUGAGGAAUAAGCAUCGGCUAACUCCGUGCCAGCAGCCGCGGUAAUACGGGGGAUGCAAGCGUUAUCCGGAAUGAUUGGGCGUAAAGCGCCUGUAGGUUGUUUAUUAAGUCCGUUGUUAAAGCCUAGGGCUCAACCCUAGAAAAGCAAUGGAAACUAGUAGACUAGAGUAUGGCAGGGGUAGAGGGAAUUUCUAGUGUAGCGGUGAAAUGCGUAGAUAUUAGAAAGAACACCGGUGGCGAAAGCGCUCUACUGGACCAUUACUGACACUCAGAGGCGAAAGCUAGGGUAGCAAAAGGGAUUAGAUACCCCUGUAGUCCUAGCCGUAAACGAUGGAUACUAGAUGUUGUGNAUAUGUACAGUAUCGUAGCUAACGUACGUUAAGUUAAUCCGCCCGGGGACGGUACGCUCGCAAGGGUGGAACGUACAAAGGAAAGUUAGACGG
rnacentral:rRNA from 1 species